UGGUUUCUCUUCAGAUCGUAUAAAUCUUUCACCUUUUACUAAAGAUUUCUGUGGAGAGGAACAAGCUU
rnacentral:snRNA from 1 species